rnacentral:rRNA from 1 species
AGCAUAUCAAUAAGCGGAGGAAAAGAAACCAACAGGGAUUGCCUCAGUAACGGCGAAGUGAAGCGGCAAAAGCUCAAAUUUUGAAAUCUGGCUCUCUCAGGGUCCGAGUUGUAAUUUUGCAGAAGAUGCUUCGGGUGGGGUGCCGGUCUAAGUUCCUUGGAACAGGACGUCACAGAGGGUGAGAAUCCCGUACGUGACCGGUCGCCUCCGCCCAUGUGAAGCUCUUUCGACGAGUCGAGUUGUUUGGGAAUGCAGCUCUAAAUGGGUGGUAAAUUUCAUCUAAAGCUAAAUACUGGCCAGAGACCGAUAGCGCACAAGUAGAGUGAUCGAAAGAUGAAAAGCACUUUGGAAAGAGAGUUAAACAGUACGUGAAAUUGUUGAAAGGGAAGCGCUUGCAACCAGACUUGCGCCUGGUUGAUCACCCGGGCUUCUGCCCGGUGCACUCGAUCAGGCUCAGGCCAGCAUCGGUUUGGGUGGUCGGAUAAAGGCCUUGGGAAUGUAGCCUCUCUCGGGGGGUGUUAUAGCCCAAGGUGCCAUGCGACCUACCUGGACCGAGGACCGCGCUUCGGCUAGGAUGCUGGCGUAAUGGUUGUAAGCGACCCGUCUUGAAACACGGACCAAGGAGUCUAACACCUCUGCGAGUGUUUGGGUGUCAAACCCACACGCGUAAUGAAAGUGAACGGAGGUGAGAGCCCCUGAGGGCGCAUCAUCGACCGAUCCUGAUGUCUUCGGAUGGAUUUGAGUAAGAGCAGGUGUGUUGGGACCCGAAAGAUGGUGAACUAUACGUGAAUAGGGUGAAGCCAGAGGAAACUCUGGUGGAGGCUCGCAGCGGGUUCUGACGUGCAAAUCGAUCGUCAAAUUUGCGUAUAGGGGCGAAAGACUAAUCGAACCAUCUAGUAGCUGGUCUGCG